UACGGGGGGAGCAAGCGUUGUUCGGAUUUACUGGGCGUAAAGGGCGCGUAGGCGGCCACUGCAAGUCGGUUGUGAAAUCUCCGGGCUUAACUCGGAAAGGUCAAUCGAUACUGCAGGGCUAGAGUGCAGAAGGGGCAACUGGAAUUCUCGGUGUAGCGGUGAAAUGCGUAGAUAUCGAGAGGAACACCUGCGGCGAAGGCGGGUUGCUGGGCUGACACUGACGCUGAGGCGCGAAAGCUAGGGGAGCGAACGGG
rnacentral:rRNA from 1 species